GACGAACGCUGGCGGCGUGCUUAACACAUGCAAGUCGAACGGAAAGGCCCUGCUUUUGUGGGGUGCUCGAGUGGCGAAAGGGUGAGUAACACGUGAGUAACCUGCCCUUGACUUUGGGAUAACUUCAGGAAACUGGGGCUAAUACCGGAUAGGAGCUCCUGCUGCAUGGUGGGGGUUGGAAAGUUUCGGCGGUUGGGGAUGGACUCGCGGCUUAUCAGCUUGUUGGUGGGGUAGUGGCUUACCAAGGCUUUGACGGGUAGCCGGCCUGAGAGGGUGACCGGCCACAUUGGGACUGGGCUACGGCCCAGACUCCUCCGGGAGGCAGGAGUGGGGUAUAUUGCACAAUGGGCGGAAGCCUGAUGCAGCACCGCCGCGUGCGGGAUGACGGCCUUCGGGUUGUAAACCGCUUUCGCCUGUGACGAAGCGUGAGUGACGGUAAUGGGUAAAGAAGCACCGGCUAACUACGUG
rnacentral:rRNA from 1 species